UUCUGUGUAAUCGGACUUGAAGAAAGAAACGUAGAUUUUUUACGCGUUUGUUUCUUCCAAUCAAUCAAAUAAUAAAUGCGUGUAAAGAUCUGUAUAAGUAGCGUUUGUACUAACUUCCAUAGAAUUAGUAAUAAUUAAGCCUUCACUGCGCGCCUUCGUGGUAAGAAACCACAGCAUUACUGCAAAUUGCUCUGUUAAUAUUUUAAAUAGAUACCUUUUAUUGUCCGAUAAACUGCCACGCAGUUUGGCGGAUUAUUAAAUUGUACAAGUAUUUGGUCAAAUAAUUUAUUUAUUUAUUUGUCGUCAAUAUUUUAAAAAUCAAUUUAUAGCUUAUUUAAAUAAAUAAAACGAAUGACUAAAAUGGUUAAAUACGUAUAUUCAUAUUAGAAUCCACCGAAAAAAGUUUUGUGAAAAUAUCCUAAGAUGGAGUAUUAUUUAACUUCCUUAGUUUUUUUUUUUUUUUGGUUCAAUUUUGUUUUAAAUACUCAGAAUGGAGUAGGCACUUGAAAUUAAGAUAUGAGGGAAUUAAAAAGUGGUAGACAAUAAUAUAGGUAUAAUUAAUUUUAACCUACUAUUACCAACAUAUCGGCGCUAAUUGCGUAAUUAUUUUUCAAGUGUUUAAUCAAUUCUGAGGUAUGACAUAACUAUGUAUAGUUGAUAUGUAAAUAAAAAUAUUGUACUUCGAUACCGUAAUAAAUAAAGAAAAAAUAAAAAAA
rnacentral:misc_RNA from 1 species